UCCCCAGGACUGUGUUUGUGGCUGUUGUUUCCCACUGGCAUGAUAGCCUCAGCUGACGUUUUCCCCAUCCAUUCAGCUGCUGUAGCCUCGCGGUCUAAAAACAGACCAUGGAAAGAUUCCCCAGAGGUCUGUCAUCUCUAACGGGCAGUCCAUUUUUUAUAUUGCUGCCCGAAUCAUGUCCUUACAUAAAAGUUAGGCCACGGAGGCUUCCUGCUUCAGACCACUACCAGUUGGCAUCCAGUACCGAAAAGUAAUCGCCAUGAAGAUAUUCACAGCGGACUGUUUUGCUUGACCACAUCCAUUUUACUGAUAUCUUUGGAUUCGUGUAGACACUGACGACUAGAUUUUACUCAGAGGUACUUUUUUGCUAUGUUUUGCUUCCUGUUUUGCUAUGUUUUAGGAGGGUCUUACUCCCAACAGGUGGACGUUGCAAAAUCUGCAGACGUUGCAGAAACCCUUCCAUUCUUUUUAACUGUUUAUCCCGUUGUCGAAAUGUGAGGAUUAAGUACAUCAAACUUCGAAACUGUGUCCUCGGUAAUCAAAAAGUAUUGAAACUAUUAAAAGAUAAAACUAAAUUCAAUUUAUCGCUAGUGAUCAUACUUUUAGGACACGACGAAUUCACGAAAAUAGAUGUAAUCUUUAAAAAUAUGCUUUAAGGGGCCUGGGUGGUUCCCUCGGUUAAGCCUCUGAUUCUUGAUUUCAGCUCAGGUCAUGUUCUCACAAUUCGUGGGAUUGAGCCUCACAAGUGGCUCUGUGCUGACAGUGCAUAGCCUGCUUGGGAUUCCCUCUCUCUCUCUCUCUCUCUUCCCCUUCCCCACUCAUAUGCUCUCUCUCUUUCUCAAAGUGAAUACAUAAACUUAAAAAAAAAAUGCUUUGAAUGAUACAUACAAAUGGUGACCAAAUGAGGACACUUGAUUUCGUGACAAAAAAUUCGAUGUCUGCACCAACAAAAAUUGCAUUAUCAAAUAUUCUUACUCUCCUGCUUGCAGUGCCAUUUGAACUGCUCUUCCUCCAUAGCUGUCUGGCAAAAGAAUAAAUGUAUCGAUCCUUGUUGAGGACAGAUAACAGUUACUCCCCAUGCAUCCUGCACCUGCAAAUUCCGAGAACAGAGCAAAACAUCAUUUCCCUCACUCGUGUGUUGUAUGC